GGGGGACAGGGGGGAGGGUGGAGAAGCUGCCAGAGAACCAGCCAGCAAAAGAACUAAAUGCUGUCGGCUGUUUCUUGGUAUGCGAUUCAUUUUCAUUUUCCACACUUCAGGUACAAUUGUUUAUAUUCUCCCUGGGUUUCAAAUGUGAAUGCCUUAGAAGUGCUUCCCUAAAACUUAUACAAUUAAAUUUAAAAAGUUGCAAAUUCUCUUCCAGCUGAGGAGAUUUCAAGGACUUGGAGGAAGCUAAUAAAAAGGGUGACAAGGGUGGUCAUCUCCGGAGUGUGGUCACAUAACUGGAAUUCUGAGGUUGUGUCCUAGGGAGGGAAUUCUAGAUUUGAAACUGGUCUGAAAAGGACGAAGUGGUUCCUUGGAUGAUAGUGAAUAAACCUGGCAUGGCAAUGAACAGCCUUUCAGGAAAACUAUGGGAUUAGUAAUUUUUAACAAACACAGUGAACACCGAUAUUUUAAAUCUGUCACUACAAAUAUUCAAACAGCAAAUGACUACUGAUCCCUGUUGUGUGUCUGACCCUGUGCUGUGAACCCCCUCUUCUGAAGCAUAAGCUUAAUUAAAAUUCUUUUACAGUUGAUACCUACAAGUGACACAUAACUCAAGAGGUCCAAGAGGAUAUCUAUUAAAAGGUAAACAAAAUUAUUUCUGGAGACAUAAAACAUUAUUUCUACCUUCAAGUGGUUUGUAAUCCAGCUGAAGGUAAAUGACUAGUACAGGAAAUCAAACUAAUACAAAUCAAGGGCCUUUGCACUUGCCAUUUCUUUUUCUUCAAACACUCUUCCCCUACAUAUCUGCAUGGCUUGCUUGCUUUCUUUUUUAAGUCUUUACUCAGCUCUCACUUUCUCCGUGAGGGCUCCUUGGUCACCCUCUAAACUUUUUACAUGUUCCCAUCACUCCAUCUCCCUUUCCUGCUUUAUCCUUCUCUCAGCAGUUGCCACCAUUGUAGAUACUAUAAAAGAGACGUUAUCAGUUCUAAUACCUAGUACAAUAUUCCUUGUGUAUCGUCUCUCUUCUCCCCCCAGGAUGUAAGCUUCAUGAGGGUGUGAUUUUCGACUCUUCUGUUCACAGCUGUAUUCCCAGCAUCUAGAAUUAUACCUGGUACCUAGCAGGCGCUCAAUAACUAUUUGUUGAAUGAAUGAAGGACCAGUGCCUGUUUUAGAGAGGAGACAGAUCCAUGUAGCUGGAAGAAUCCCUGACUGUGAGGAAAUCAGGUCCAUGAAGGGUGACGGGGAGGAUUUGGUGGGCCAAGUCCUCCAAGUUCUUGAAAUUAGACCACAUGGGUACCCUUCCCUCUUCCUCUCAAAUAUGUAUUAAGCUCCACUAAGUGUCAAGCCCUGAGGCCGGGCCUGAAGAGGUCCCAUCCACGACGGGGCUGACCUGAACCCUUGCUGGCAGAGUAACAGUGAGCCUACCCCGCAGCAUGAUGGGGUAUCUGCUCAGACACGGAGUACCCGGCCUCCUCCUACAUCCUCAGCAGCUGGUGGGGCAGGCCUGCGGCCACCACGAGGGCCCCUCCGGCCCUAGACCUCAGCCAGAACUGACAGAACAACCCUGCCACCCUCCUGAGGGUGUCACAGAGAAUACAAUGCCACAUCAGAGGGCCAUGGGCAGAUCAGUGGGUUGGGUCGGAAGUAGCAGUUUUAUUUUUUGGUCUUUAAUGUCAAUAUUGUAAUAAAAAAGAUAACUAGACAUUAAAAAAAAUGAACUCAGUAUCCCACCUCUCCCAACCAUUUCUAUUUCACCUGUUUUACUCCAGACCUCUUCUAUAUGCUAUGCAGGUGGUUGUAACCCUGGCACAGCCUGUGUUUCCAUCUCCUUCAGAGGGUGCAAAUUGGCUUUAAGCAAAAAAGCCCUGUUUUCUAGCCAUGAUCUAGAGAAGUCUGUGAUCCCGAGGAGGACAGAAAACCUCCCAGUUAGGGCCUGUAGAACCCCAUUGGUGGCCAUGCUCUGGGCAGUCUCAGCUCAUCAGCACGACACUGAGCUCAGAAAGCCGGGAGAGGCUGAGGCUGGUGGGGAUGCAGCCGACAGAUAAGUCUAGCUCAUGGCUUCAGAUCCCUGGGGACAGGGAGAGGCUGGCCAGCCAUGGACCUCAGAAGAGUUUCUGACUCAGAAGCGCUUUCUGAGGCUCACAACUCAGAUGCCCAGGCCCCACCCCUUGAGAUUCUGAGAAGGCCAGGGCGCUCUUUUGUUUCUAAGUCCCACAGGUUGGAGAAGGAAAUGGCCACCCACUCCAGUAUUCUUGCCUGGAGUAUCCCAUGGACAGAGGAGCCUGGCGGUCUACAGUCCAUGGGGUUGGACACGACUGAGCGACUAAACCACCACCACCAAGUCCCACAGCACAGCUCACAGCAGGCCGAAGGCAGUGCAGCAUGACCCGACCUGAUUACAAGUUCGCUCUGGAACUCCUCUGAGCUGCUCAACUGGCUGACGGGGCUAAUGGGAAUGGACUGACUCCACCGUGCUGGAAGCUGGUAAAAACCGUUUAGAGAACAACCUCAAA